AACGAACGCUGGCGGCAUGCCUAACACAUGCAAGUCGAACGAGACCUUCGGGUCUAGUGGCGCACGGGUGCGUAACGCGUGGGAACCUGCCCUUAGGUUCGGAAUAACUCCCCGAAAGGGGUGCUAAUACCGGAUAAUGUCUUCGGACCAAAGAUUUAUCGCCUUUGGAUGGGCCCGCGUUGGAUUAGCUAGUUGGUAGGGUAAAAGCCUACCAAGGCGACGAUCCAUAGCUGGUCUGAGAGGAUGAUCAGCCACACUGGGACUGAGACACGGCCCAGACUCCUACGGGAGGCAGCAGUUGGGAAUAUUGGACAAUGGGCGAAAGCCUGAUCCAGCAAUGCCGCGUGAGUGAUGAAGGCCUUAGGGUUGUAAAGCUCUUUUACCCGGGAUGAUAAUGACAGUACCGGGAGAAUAAGCUCCGGCUAACUCCGUG
rnacentral:rRNA from 1 species